AGCACUGCGCCAGGGCAGUUAAAGUGGUCUCAUGCUGGAUUAUUUCUCCAGUGUGCUUUGGACCUUAAUAGGGGAAGAGCUAAUAAUUAGAAGGCACAUGUCUCCCUUUUCCACAAGACUGCAUAUGUUCACAAGAGUGAUAUGAAUUCUUAUGCCCCUCUCACAGCCUAUUGGUUUAAACAUUAGAGUAUGAAAUACUAUUCUGACCACAGUUGUAGUGGGACAGUAUGCUCUGUUGAGGGAUAUAGCCCCAUAACCCUUUUUGUUAACGCUAACAAUUUUCUCUACAUAAUAUUUUCCAUUUCUGCCAUACUGUUUUAAAAUGAACCACUAGAGGGCUCAUGCCUUACCUUUUCUGCAUUGGAAAGGGUAUUGUAUUAUAAAAUGGACUCCUCACCAAGGACCUGCUUCUGUUUGUAUAUUCAUGGGGUGCUUCCAUAUGUCAUUCACAUCACAAUAAAGGAGAGCAUAGGAUCAGUCCCAAGGUCAAUUUUGUCUAGCACAAUUUUCAGCACUGCCAGCCACAUACUUCCUACGUACAGCCUCAUUUACCUUGUGUCCUCAAUGCCUAAUGCAUUCCUAGAUAUACAUUUCAUUAAUCUAUCAUGGCUAAUAGCUGCAGAGUGUACAUAUGUAUGUAUGUGCACUGAAAUGUUGCCUGUUGACUUAUGGCAAUUGCAUGAAUUCCAUAGGGUAUUCUUGUGCAAGGAAUACUCAGAAGUAAUUUUGCCAGUUCCUUCCUUUGAAUUAUAGUCUAUUCUCAGGCAACCUUGGUAUUCCCAGGCAGUCUCCCAUCCAAAUACUAACCAGGCCUGACCCUGGUAAGCUUCCAAAAUCAGAGGGGAUCUGGCGCUUUUAGGGUAUUUAGGCUGGCAAACAAGGACUAAUAGUAAAAUUGGGGUAUAAUUAUCCCUCCCACACUGUACUAUUCACUGUUGUUAUUACCACAUACUGUUCUUCUGCCUGGUGCUUUACAAAGAUUGAGAGGACAGGACCCUGCCCUAAGGGAAUUAUGGUCUACAAUAUAUAUUAGCCAGAUGGUGCUGCAGAGCUGCUACAGAUUAAGUGUGUAUUGUUACUUCUUAAUGUUUUCUAGUGCUAGACAGCUUGUGGCAGAGGCAGGAGGAAGGCUGGAUAACUUCAAUACUGUCUUUAUUUUCCUUUUCUCUACAUCUUUGAUAGGUUUCUGGUUUGUUUUGACAAUAGAAUUGCUUAUUUCAAGGAAAGGAUGCAGCUGCUAUUUAUGUUACCUGCAAUAGGGGGUCCACUGAUGACUCCAAGCCCAGCAAUAAAUGAAGCAAGUCCCAAAGCACUGUGGAAUCUGGCGGCACCUACAAGGUAAGACAGUGGGAGUAACUUAUCAGUGACUGACUAAACUGGAUGAGGGCUGGUAAGAUGGAAUUCCAUCCAUACAAGAUUGAGGUACUCUUACUGAAAUGUUCAUCAAUCUGAGACAGUGGUGUUCAAGCUGUGUUGAGGGGCGCUGAACUCACCCUAAAGGGAUUAGAUUGGUAGCUUGGAAAGUGCUUGUCCACUGUUGUCAUUAAAGCUACAUACAGCCUCUGUGACCUGGAGAGCCUUUUAUGAGGUUCACAUUGAUAUAGUAACUGCAUCUUUGCCUGACUGGAGAUAGCCUUGCUUAUGCUACCCAUAUCAUAUGCUAGUAAUCUCCUAUUCAGAUAUUGUAAUGCAAUUGAUCCCAAAUGUUCAAUGUGUCUAAAAUAGUACAGCAAGACAUAAACAAGACUUAAGGAGGCCUGGACAAUUGAAUCACAUCACUGCUUUGUUAUUUAUGAUUACCUCUCAAUCUGUACAUACACAGACCUAGUGAUCUUCUUCAGUUGCCUGUUUUCAGUUGUUCCAGCCAGCUGAGGUGCAAAGAAUAGCUAUUAAGGCAUUCUAGAGAGCCAGCAUGGUGUAGCACUUUCAGGGUUGGACUACGAUUCUGGAGAUGAGGGUUAGAUUCUCAGCUUAGCCAUGAAACCCAUUGAGUGACCUUGGCCAGGUCAUGCACUUAGCCUCUGAGGAAGGGAAUAGCAAACCUCCUCUGAACAAAACUUACCAAGAGAACUCUAUAAUAGGGUCACCAUAAUUUGAAAACAAUUUGAAGACACAGAACAAAGGGCAUUCUGUGUGGUAACUCCUUCUCAUGAAAUGCAGUGUGACUGACUAGAUGGGGCUCCCUCCACUUUUAAAUGUCUGAAAUAUAAACAUUUGAUUAUACUAUUUUGCAGGGAAAAUAGCAGCUGGACCCCAAUCCAGAACAAGGCAAUGGCUGCUUUUUUGUGAAAAUCCAUGCCUCCAGUUUAAUUGUGCUGUUUGAAAAAAAUGUGCAUUAUGUCAUAUACAUUUUCACCUUGAGACAGUACAGAAAAGAUGUUUUGAAUACUGCAGAUGAAAAACUGUUGACUCAAAAUUGAUUGAUGGCAGUGAAAUAUGUUUUCACUGUAUCUGUGCGAUUCUCUUUCUUACAUUCCAGUAAAUGAACAGGACCUGAAGGUGUCAUCUUUGAAGCAUUUAUUUUCCAGUUGUUUAAUUUUCCAUGUACCAAAGCAAAUGACUUAAAAAAAAUACCUUGCACGCUUUAAAAAAAGGUUGCGUUUGAGACUCUGCCUGUUGGUUAAGUGGUGCUUCACUGUUAACUUUGAUAACUUUCAUUCCUAUUUCCCCCUACUUACCAAUACAGGAAGUAACAAGGCCAGGUAUCCACCACUGAAAAUGGCAAAGAAUACAGAGUAAGUUGUAAGCAAUGGGAAGGUUGUGGCCAGAGGACCCAUCAGCCCAGUGAUAGCUCAGUGGUAGAGCUUGCAGUCUGGAUUCAGAAGAAAGAAUUUCCCUUGAAAUUUUGGAGAAUCACUACUAGUCGGUGACAACAGUAUGAGGCAAGUUGGACAAACUUCAUAUAAAGCAGCUUCCUCACUUAUUUUCUUCAACAGAAAAUUAAAUUGGCUGUAAUCUGACAAAUUUGUUUAUGUAUAUGUAAACGUUUGUUGUUCUUUUAAACUAGUUAAUAUAGUAAUGGAAGCCAUAUGGUGCUGCACAAAACUAUAAAAGACAAACUUCAUGUGCAGUUAGGUUUAAUUUUUGUCUUUUGCAGGGGUAAGAAGCAAACCCCUCGGUUGCCUGUGUGUAGCCUGGUGCGCAAAGUGGAAGACGGUGGCCAUUCCCCAUUAUCUUCAGUUGUAGACUGUUUCCUUAUUCUUCAGGAUUAUUGGAGAGCUGUUUUAUUAAAUGCAAUCAGAAUGAAGAACCAAGGUUUCAUCUCUGGCUUCCAGUUCCACAAGUUGCCUAUUGGUAAGUCCCAGUUGCCCCGCACCUGCUGAUCCCUUCUUAGACUGCUCUUGCCUUUGAGCUGGUAACUGGUAGAGCAGGGGAGAGCAUUCAUUCUAAGGGGUGGGGGAUUGGAUUUCAUCUUGGGGCCUUCUUUUGUUGAUCCCUAUUUAGCAAUGUUUUUUGAAUUAUUAAAUGAAAAUCUAAAGAGUUAAUUAAAAUUAACAGAUUUGCUUAAUAAAGUCAUUUGUUAUUA